rnacentral:rRNA from 1 species
GAUGAACGCUGGCGGCGUGCCUAAUACAUGCAAGUCGAGCGAACGGACGAGAAGCUUGCUUCUAUGAUGUUAGCGGCGGACGGGAGAGUAACACGUGGAUAACCUACCUAUAAGACUGGGAUAACUUCGGGAAACCGGAGCUUAUACCGGAUGAUAUUUUGAACCGCAUUGUUCAAAAGUGAAAGACGGUCUUGCUGUCACUUAUAGAUGGAUCCGCGCUGCAUUAGCUAGUUGGUAAGGUAAAGGCUUACCAAGGCAACGAUGCAUAGCCGACCUGAGAGGGUGAUCGGCCACACGGGAUGUGAGACAGGGUCCAGACUCCGGCGGGGGGCAACAGUAGAGAAUCUUCCGCGAUGGACGAAAGCGUAACGGAGCAACGCGGCGUAAGUCAUGAAGAAGUUCGGAUCGUUAAGCUAUGUAAUUAGUAGGGAACAUAUGUGUAUGUAACUGUGAUCAUCUUGACGGUACCUGGUCAAAAAGCCACGGCUAACUACGUG